rnacentral:rRNA from 1 species
GAUUUGAACUGGCUCAGAUUGACGCUGGCGGCAGGCCUAACACAUGCAAGUCGAACGGUAACAGGAAGCAGCUUGCUGCUUUGCUGACGAGUGGCGGACGGGUGAGUAAUGUCUGGGAAACUGCCUGAUGGAGGGGGAUAACUACUGGAAACGGUGGCUAAUACCGCAUAACGUCGCAAGACCAAAGAGGGGGACCUUCGGGCCUCUUGCCAUCAGAUGUGCCCAGAUGGGAUUAGCUUGUUGGUGAGGUAACGGCUCACCAAGGCGACGAUCCCUAGCUGGUCUGAGAGGAUGACCAGCCACACUGGAACUGAGACACGGUCCAGACUCCUACGGGAGGCAGCAGUGGGGAAUAUUGCACAAUGGGCGCAAGCCUGAUGCAGCCAUGCCGCGUGUAUGAAGAAGGCCUUCGGGUUGUAAAGUACUUUCAGCGGGGAGGAAGGUGUUGUGGUUAAUAACCGCAGCAAUUGACGUUACCCGCAGAAGAAGCACCGGCUAACUCCGUGCCAGCCGCCGCGGUAAUU